rnacentral:ribozyme from 1 species
CUCCCAGAGUCGAGUACCUGUAUAAAAUAUGGCUCCUCGCGGCCGUAGAAGCCUCCUGUCGGU